rnacentral:tRNA from 1 species
GCGGCUGUAGCUCAAUGGAUUAGAGCACUGGCCUACGAAGCCAGGGGUUGCAGGUUCGAGUCCUGCCAGCCGCACCA